AAAGAUUAAGCCAUGCAUGUCUAAGUAUAAGCAAUCUAUACGGUGAAACUGCGAAUGGCUCAUUAAAUCAGUUAUCGUUUAUUUGAUAGUACCUUACUACUUGGAUAACCGUGGUAAUUCUAGAGCUAAUACAUGCUAAAAACCCCGACUUCGGAAGGGGUGUAUUUAUUAGAUAAAAAACCAACGCCCUUCGGGGCUUCUUGGUGAUUCAUGAUAACUUAACGGAUCGCAUGGCCUUGCGCCGGCGACGGUUCAUUCAAAUUUCUGCCCUAUCAACUUUCGAUGGUAAGGUAUUGGCUUACCAUGGUUU
rnacentral:rRNA from 1 species